rnacentral:lncRNA from 1 species
UGUUCUAAUGAAAGCUUAUUUGAUUUUGUUCUCUAAUGAAAACUCAUUACCUUUUUUCUAGUUAACUUUGACCUUGUAAUAUUGUGAUUAGGGUGCAAAUAAUAUUGCAAAACGUUCUCAAGAAAGGAUAGGAAGUGCAUUCACACGAAACAGUUUACCUCAAGAUUUUGAUGAUCAAGAGAUAUUGUAUGAAACUUGCACUGUUUCUAAUGCAUCACAAUUAUUGGUUUUGGCACCCAAGUUGCAGAGCCUAAGAAUUAAGGACUGCGAAUCAUUGGAUGUCCUCCCAGAUGGUUUGCUAGAUGGAUCAACCAGUCUUAAAGAAUUGAAAUUGAUGAAUUGUUCUGAUCUAAGGUCCAUCCCUUACCCUCCAUCCCUGACUGAACUUUACAUAAGCAAGUGUAGAAAUUUUGAAUUACUCCGAUCGUCAAAAUCAAGAGAGAAUCUUUCCUUUAUUCACAGAUUGUCCAUUGGGAAUAGUUGUGAUUCUCUCACUACCUUGACCUUAGAUUUGUUCCCUAAACUCAAGAUUCUUUUUAUAUGGAACUGUCCCAAUCUAGUAUCUUUUGAUGUUACAGGGGUGCAUAAGGGUGAUUUUCCAUUGGAAUGUUUUGAAAUAAGAGAUUGCCCUGGAUUGACGUCUUUCCCAGAUGAAGGAUUUCAUACACCAAACCUACGUGCCUUCACCCUUUCCAAUUGCAAGAAUCUUAAAAAAUUCCCCAAUUUUAUUGCCUCUCUCACAUCUCUCCUCACAUUAUUUGUACUUAGAUGUCCACAUAUUGAAUGUUUUCCACAUGGUGGUUUGCCUUCAAGCUUAAUUCUAAUCUCUAUUGCAUAUUGUGACAAGCUUACAUCACAAAAGGAAUGGGGAUUGGAAAAUCUAAAAUCUCUGACUACAUUUAAUAUUGAAGGUGGAUGUAUAGGUCUGGAGUCAUUUCCAGAGGAAAAUCUUCUUCCCAGAAACAUUAUCUCUCUACACAUCAGCAAUUUAAAGAGUCUCAAGAAGCUGGACGACAAGGGCUUUCAACAACUUAAUGCUCUUUGCACACUUAAAAUUGAUCGUUGCGACGUUCUGCAGUACUUGCCUGAACAGGGGCUUCCUUCCUCCCUAAAUCAGCUCAAUAUCAGGGAUUGCCCAGUGUUGACUCCAAGACUUAAACCCGAGACAGGAAAGUACUGGUGCAAGGUGGCUCAUAUUCCUCAUAUAGAAAUUGAUGACAAGAAAGUUGGGCAACCUUGGUAUAGAUAUUGAUGACCAAAAAGUGUUUGGGUCUGUGGACUAAAACACCAAAACUAGGCAAAAUAAUCAUGUUACUUCUGUACUCUACCCAACUUUGCAGAUUAAUAUUCGUUUCACUUUUUAACUAUAGCUCUACUAUUUUUAGCACAAAAGAGACCAAUGGUUUAAAUUUAUCACUUACUAUGUAUCUAACAUUUUCUGCAUAUUCCAUGAUAAGAUUGCUUGUGUGUCAUACAUAUGAUGUUAUGUGUUCAUUAUGUACUUUGUUAGCACUAGCGGUCUGCAAAGGCAGAAGUAAUAGAAAAUAACGAGUAGAUGUGUAAUUUGUUCAAAACUACAGUACCUUGAAAACUCAAUUUCAACAGCAAGCAAAAUCAAAUGAAGGCAAGCCACCAAAUUUAUUCAUCUAUGUAUCUAUAGCAAGCAAAGUAUAACGAAUCAUUAAUCAUUACCUUAACUUUGUUUGAUACGGGAUUCUUUUUUCGCUCUCAAUUUUAUCACAGCGAUUCCGGGUGAAGUUGCGGAAUUAAAAAUUGAACGGUGGAGAAGCUUCUAACAGCGACACUGACGCGAUGAAGAGCGAAUCCGACGCGGUGAUUAACAAGGGUGGUGCAACUCCGGCGCGGUUAAGAGCAUAUUCCGACGCGGUGGUCAACGAUGAUGCAUUUACUUUAGAGGGUCGAAAUGAAGGCAAAAGAAGAAAAGGGAUUUUGUGUGUUUUUGAAGAAGAUGAGGAAUGUAGAGAAAGAAGGGUUAGGUCAGAGCCAUUGUUUCCAAUAAGAUGGAUAUGCAACACUUUAUUGGAAAUCGAUAACAUUAAUUAUUUGUCAUUUACAAUGCACAGUAAACUUGAAUUUGAAUUGUGAUUUGUGCUAGCCAGCAGCAAGAUCAGAUCUAUGGGUGAUAAAUAAGUGGCGCCCAAAGGUGUAGAUCCAAGUAUUUUUAGAUUAGAUAACCCAAACAAAAUGUAUUUUUAGAAGAAAAAGAUAUGACGUGUGAGAAAAGCAAGAAUCCUUAAAAUUUUAUCAAGUAAUUGGGCCUUCUUUUAAAAAUCAGAUUUUUAAUAACAAAAAGCCCAACCCCUUCUAUGCUGUCCUUCUAUGCUGUCCGUCGAACCUAGAGACGAGGGUAAAGAAGGGAACGAAAAUUCAAGGAUGGAAGCUUUGUGGGGCUAAAAUCGAUAAAUCACAUGUCAGUUUGAAGGAUAGCACUGAAUCGGGGUGGAAAUUUCUGAACGCACCUUUGAAGGUUCUGAACGCGGUAACCAAACACGAAGCACGCGGUGAUAUUGUGAUCUCCAAGAAGAAGAGGGUGAGUUUGCCUUAAUCUCCGAAGUUUCAGAUUUUAUUUUUGUUUGUAUUUUGAAGUUUCUCGUUUUUGCCCUUUGCUUGGUCUGUUUUUCUGUAUAUCUUCUCUCCAGGCAAUGGCAACACCACCAACUACACACGUUGAUGAUGAUGAUGCUGGAUCGCAUGGAGAAGUAGCGUGAGUAUUUUAUUUUCUUUUUCUUGUCAAUAGUUGGCUAAAUAGCGUGGGUAACAAAUUGUGAUUAAUUAUUUGUUGAACUCAAUAGAAUCUUUUUUUAUUCGAUAGAAGAUCAAAUUGAAUCAUGUGUAUUACUUAAUCAUAUAGAUUAUCUAGAAUUUUAAUAUCCAAUUAAGUUACUGACUUAAUCAUAAUGGUAUAACCUAAUUACGUAUGGAUUGGAUUGGUUAUUCUUUGAAAUUCAGAGGUAUAACAUAAUCAGAUGGAUCAUUGAAUUUCAUUAUUAUGUUUUCUAAGCCAAUUCUAGGAGUUGAAAACAUACCCAGAUUCGUAGGAGAUAAAGGCUUACAACAUGUUUUCAACGGUACACCGAUUAUUUGAGAAUUGAAAUUUUUGUGUUGGUGUUGAAUUAUUUAGGAAGAAGGUGCUGGGUUGAUUAUGAAUAAAAUAACCUUUCGGUAGGGAUUACCAACAAUAAUUAAUCACAAUCAUUAAUUAAUAUUAGAUUCAAGGGUCAUGAUUUGGAGUAACUCUUUCUACUUACUCUUAGAGUCAAUGGAUCCCUCCUCAUAUAUAUGAGCACAGGGAGUCAUUUCCUUUUUCUUUGUGUAAAGAAAAAAGAUGGUAGACUAAUUGAUAUUUCUAUAUAUGCGUGCACUGGAAUGCUGGCACUGGAAAGGAAUUGGACUAUAUGAUGGUGGGACAUUCCCCCAUCCACGCCGGUCCAUCCACACUUCUACUGGGUGUGAUAUUUUGCUAUAUCGGAACAGGGAAAGAUACUGGACGGAGUUGUGCUUUUCCCACCUUGGCCAGGAAGAGAUGUGAGACGAGGUUCUUCAACCAUUACUUUUCUUCAACUUUGAAUUCCGUUCUGUCAGUGUCAAGAUCAGGUGGUAGCUUAUUUGCUGUUGCUGGUGCUACUGGAGGAUCUGGGUCUCGCUUACGAACAUCAGAAUCUCACUAUCGAUCCCAAACAUAAAAAUAUAGAUCACUAGCAUCCGGCUCUUCCUAACGAUCACGAAAGACAAGCACUAGGAUCCCUACUUGAAGUUAAUUCUGGAUCUUACUCCAGAUAACGAAGAUCAUAAUCUCUAUUACGAGCAUCCGUAACUGCAUAGCAUCAGAAUCUCACUAUCAAUCUGUAGUUGGCCAGCAGCAUAGGCUAGGAACCAUAGAACAUGCCACAGUGCAUGCCAUAGCGAUGAUGACCACCAUAGACCAUAGUAGUGGAUAGGUAUAUUAGUGUUAGCCACCUAUAUAUAUAUAUAUAUAUAUAUAUAUAUGACAUGCUAUGGAUUCAUGCAGAUAUAUAUAUUUGGCAUGAAUUCUAGAGAAAGUUUUUGUAAUUUCUACAUGCAUGUUGUGGCUUUGUUUAUAUUGGUGGCAAAAAUUAUGCAUGUUGUGGUUUUAAAGUUUUUUAUUCAUUUAUUAAAAAAAAAGUUUUUUUAUUCGUUAUACCAAAUGUACUUGUUCUGUAGUAUCCUAUAGUAUCAAACACUUCCCUUUUUAUAGUUUGUGCACGAAAUAAUAUCUUAAGUGGUUUGUUUAUCAGUACUUGUUCUGCAUUAUCUUAUAGUAUUAAACACUCCCCUUUUCAUAGUUUGUACACGAAGUAAUAUCUUAAGUGGUUUGUUUAUCGGUUGUGUCGGUGUACUUGUUAUGUAUUAUCUUACUUGCAAGUGUCCACAUCUGCUUAUGUUUCACAAUUCCUAAAAAUGCCAUCGUUUUAUAUAUCGACUCUAAACAGAGGCAAUGAGACACAGGGAAGGGUCGAUGCGUUGUCAGUGGAGGCAAGACUGGAUGCUGGUUCUGCCAAUUCAGACCAAAAGGUUUUUUUUUUAUCUUUCUUUAUUUGAUUUUGUUCUAAUGAAAGCUUAUUUGAUUUUGUUCUCUAAUGAAAACUCAUUACCUUUUUUCUAGUUAACUUUGACCUUGUAAUAUUGUGAUUAGGGUGCAAAUAAUAUUGCAAAACGUUCUCAAGAAAGGAUAGGAAGUGCAUUCACACGAAACAGUUUACCUCAAGAUUUUGAUGAUCAAGAGAUAUUGUAUGAAACUUGCACUGUUUCUAAUGCAUCACAAUUA